GGAGAGAAAAGAUCUCGAAACCCCACACUCUUAAGAUUCUAGUUUUAUAUUUCAAAGUUUUUUUUUAACUAUGAUUUAACUGACUUGAACGUUGGAGGAGCUUUGGUUGGCACCCAAUCCUGGCGCCUGACAUGUUUAUUUCUGCUCGCAGGCUGUCCAACCAUUGGAUCUUAGCAGUUCAGUUCAGGUACGAUCCUAGCCAACUCCUCGCUGCGGCGUCUCUCCUUCCCACAUCAGCAACUUCCGGAAAACCCUACUCAGCAUCUCAAGACAAUUAGAGUACUGCUUCGUCAGCUCCAACAACGUUGGAGCCACAGGACGCUUGUUAGCAAACAUUGUUAAAUAUGCGGAAUAAACAAUAAAAUGAAGGAAAAGAAUUCAGAGGAAUAUAUUAGGAGGAGACAAGAACAAGAUUAGAAUACAAACGUACCGUGAUUUAUGAAUCAAGGAGCCACAAUAUUCUGAGAUGGUCAUCUGUUUCAGUGAGUGGCAAGCAAGGUGAUUGUUAGACCUUUUUGAAGCCAAACCAAAGCGAGUGCAUGCAGCAUUGAGAAGAAUUUUGCGGAUUUUAAGUUUUAGUUACGACUAAUACAUCCAUUCAUCCAAACUUGUCGAGAGGUAUUCUACAGAUUUUGUAAUGGGAAACAAUUAUGGGGAUAUAGGGUUUAUUUCCAACCAUCUGUUUCUUCUGUGAUCUUUUGUCUUUUCUUCCCUAACAAUUCUGCUGAGAUCUAAUAUACGGAUGUUCU